AUAGGGAGACGGGGAAUUGAAAUUGGUCGUGUGAGUGUAUUGUAGACGGUAUUACAUAAUCACAAAGUAUUUUUUUUGAACUUCUAUAAUCACUUAAAGUUUCUACAUGGUUAUAUUAUAUAGUUUUAUGUGUGGCUUAUAUGCGACAAAUGAGUAUCGUUAUAAGAGAACAGAUGCAUAUAUUUAAUUUAACUAAAUGGCAGACAACAUAUUCCUUUCGUUUAAAGCUUUAUGAAAGUAGAUUCCUAUAUUUUGGUACAACCUUAUUCUUCUAACCUCUGAUAUUCCGCAUUUCUGAUAAAAUAACUAGUUUUGCUAUAAAUUAACUUUUAAUAAUUCUUUUGUUAUAUAGCAAUGACGAAUUAGUGUAGUUGACAUAUAACCCAUCUAUUUUCAUAAAUAAAAAGUAGAAUUUUUUUAUUUUAUUAUAUAAAA
rnacentral:lncRNA from 1 species